rnacentral:rRNA from 1 species
GACGAACGCUGGCGGCGUGCUUAACACAUGCAAGUCGAACGGAAAGGCCCUGCUUUUGUGGGGUGCUCGAGUGGCGAACGGACGAGUAACACGUGAGUAACCUGCCCGUGACUUUGGGAUAACUUCAGGAAACUGGGGCUAAUACCGGAUAGGAGCUCCUGCUGCAUGGUGGGGGUGGGAAAGUUUCGGCGGUUGGGGAUGGACUCGCGGCUUAUCAGCUUGUUGGUGGGGUAGUGGCUUACCAAGGCGUUGACGGGUAGCCGGCCUGAGAGGGUGACCGGCCACAUUGGGACUGAGAUACGGCCCAGACUCCUACGGGAGGCAGCAGUGGGGAAUAUUGCACAAUGGGCGGCAGCCUGAUGCAGCAACGCCGCGUGCGGGAUGACGGCCUUCGGGUUGUAAACCGCUUUCGCCUGUGACGAAGAGGGAGUGACGGUAAUGGGUAAAGAAGCACCGGCUAACUACGUG